CAGCCGCCGCGGUAAAACGGAGGGGGCUAGCGUUGUUCGGAAUUACUGGGCGUAAAGCGCACGUAGGCGGCUUUGUAAGUUAGAGGUGAAAGCCUGGGGCUCAACUCCAGAAUUGCCUUUAAGACUGCAUCGCUUGAACGUCGGAGAGGUGAGUGGAAUUCCGAGUGUAGAGGUGAAAUUCGUAGAUAUUCGGAAGAACACCAGUGGCGAAGGCGGCUCACUGGACGACUGUUGACGCUGAGGUGCGAAAGCGUGGGGAGCAAACAGGAUUAGAUACCCGCGUAGUCCCUGUCUCUUAUAC
rnacentral:rRNA from 1 species